CUUUUUCUCGGCGAAGAGCUGAUCCGAAGCAGUUCCGUACUGUGGAGGUACCGGUAACUAGAGGCUGCCCGCAGGGAUCAAUCAGCGGCCCAUUUAUCUGGGACAUACUGAUGGAUGUACUGUUCAGCGUCUCCACCGUAUUGCCAGCUGAGUGCAUACGCGGAUGACUUGCUGCUUCUCGUCGAGGGAAAUUCCCGAGCUGUGCUAGAGGAAAAAGGAGCGCAACUAAUGUCCAAUCGUAGAAACGUGGGGAGCGGAAGUUGGCCGUUGCCGUCUCGACCAGCAAGACGGUAAAUCAUGGCUGCUGAAAGGUGCCUUGAGACGUGCGCCUACGGUGAGGUUUGCUGGAGCGAACCUUCCGUACGUGCGUAGCUGUCGGUACCUUGGCAUCACGGUCUAGUGAAGGAAUGAAAUUCCUCACGCACAUAGCUUCGCUUCGCCAGCGGAUGACAGGAGUCGUUGGAGCAUUGGCGCGUGUGCUUCGAGCCGACUGGGGCUUCAGUCCUCGAGCCAGGCGGACCAUAUAUGACGGACUCAUGGCACCUUGUGUGCUGUUUGGUGCCCCGGUAUGGUAUGACACCGCGGAACAAGUAGCUGCCCAGAGGCGACUAGCCUCCUGCCAGAGGCUAAUCCUGCUUGGAUGCCUUUCGGUAUGCCGAACAGUAUCCACAGUGGCACUGCAGGUACUUGGUGGAGCUCCCCCGCUUGAUCUGGCUGCUAAGUUAUUAGCGAUCAAAUACAAGCUAAAACGUGGAUUCCCGCUGGAGGAGAACGACUGGCUUUACGGCGAGGACAUUGCGUGUCUUAGCUGGGAGCAGAGGAAGACUCGCCUAGAGGAGUGUUUAAUCCAGAGUUGGCAGAACAGAUGGGACGAUGACAGCGAACCAGGACGGGUGACGCAUAGGUUUAUCCCAUACGUCACUCUUGCCUAUCGGGAUCCAAGUUUUGGAUUCUCGAUGAGGACGUCUUUCCUGCUUACAGGGCACGGGUCGUUCAAUGCAUUUUUGCACGGGAGAGCCCUCAGCGAUACCACUGCUUGCGCAUGUGGAGAUCCAUAUGAGGACUGGAUGCAUAUCUUGUGCGCUUGCCCCCUAUAUGCAGAUCUGCGGGACCUAGAUGGACUUGGAGUGCAGCGCCUUGGCGAAAACUGGAUCUUCGAGGGAAUCCUGGAUGAUCAAGAGAAGACUCAACGGCUGGCAAUGUUUGCGGAAGAAGUGUUCCUGAGGAGGAGGGGCGUUUAGCUCAACAUCUCUGCCGUGUGGUUAGCGGGCGAGAAUACUACCACAGUCCGCUGUUGCUUGUCGUAAGAGACGACUAAUACAGCGAUAGGAUUCCUCUAACCCUGCUUGUCGGAGCAAAAGGGGGAGGCCCACCGAGCCUCUUUUCGGUACCACGGGUUGAGCAGCUAUCCAAGACUGCUCAUUGAGGUAGGCCCCCUGGUGGGAGUAUCGUGGUGGCUGUGGUUGGUACCCAUAUCGCGGGUAGAGCCUUCAUGCUCGACGUUUGAGUUACGGUGCUAGUUGCGCAAAACUCGGGUGCUGUGACCCAGAGAUCAGUAGAGAUUUUAGGUAGAUCUCGCUCCUCAGCAAGGGGGAGUGCUUGCCCGGCAAGCAAGUACUCGAAUUGCUACCGGGGUGGUCGCUAUGUACAUAGCUAUAGCUUCUAGUCCGGGACGCUUGUCUGGCGUAUCCAGACACAUGCACCAUAUGCUCACUUGUGGGUGUAUAGGGUGCCGUGGUUGUAAUCCCUUCAGUGUGGAACACGCCACGUAAAAUAAGUUCGGAGGGAUCCGAAAAGCAUACAUUGUCCCUAUCUACUAUCUAGCGAAACCACAGCCAAGGGAACGGGCUUGGAAUAAUUAGCGGGGAAAGAAGACCCUUUUGAGCUUGACUCUAAUCUGGCAGUGUAAGGAGACAUAAGAGGUGUAGAAUAAGUGGGAGAUAUUAGACCUCGGUUUGGUAUCGUCAAUGAAAUACCACUACUCUUAUUGUUUCCUUACUUACUUGAUUAAAUGGAACGUGUAUCAUUUCCUAGCCAUUAUACGGAUAUAUUUAUUAUAUCUUAUGGUAUUGGGUUUUGAUGCAAGCUUCUUGAUCAAAGUAUCACGAGUUUGUUAUAUAAUCGCAAACAAAUUCUUUAAUAAAACGAUGCAUUUAUGUAUUUUUGAUUUGAAAAUUUGGUAUAACUCCAAUUACUCAGGUAUGAUCCAAUUCAAGGACAUUGCCAGGUAGGGAGUUUGACUGGGGCGGUACAUCUCUCAAAUAAUAACGGAGGUGUCCCAAGGCCAGCUCAGUGCGGACAGAAACCACACAUAGAGCAAAAGGGCAAAUGCUGACUUGAUCUCGGUGUUCAGUACACACAGGGACAGCAAAAGCUCGGCCUAUCGAUCCUUUUGGUUUAAAGAGUUUUUAACAAGAGGUGUCAGAAAAGUUACCAUAGGGAUAACUGGCUUGUGGCGGCCAAGCGUUCAUAGCGACGUCGCUUUUUGAUCCUUCGAUGUCGGCUCUUCCUAUCAUUGUGAAGCAAAAUUCACCAAGCGUUGGAUUGUUCACCCAUGCAAGGGAACGUGAGCUGGGUUUAGACCGUCGUGAGACAGGUUAGUUUUACCCUACUAAUGACAAAACGUUGUUGCGACAGCAUUCCUGCGUAGUACGAGAGGAACCGCAGGUACGGACCAAUGGCACAAUACUUGUUCGAGCGAACAGUGGUAUGACGCUACGUCCGUUGGAUUAUGCCUGAACGCCUCUAAGGUCGUAUCCGUGCUGGACUGCAAUGAUAAAUAAGGGGCAAUUUGCAUUGUAUGGCUUCUAAACCAUUUAAAGUUUAUAAUUUACUUUAUAAACGACAAUGGAUGUGAUGCCAAUGUAAUUUGUAACAUAGUAAAUUGGGAGGAUCUUCGAUCACCUGAUGCCGCGCUAGUUACAUAUAAAAGCAUUAUUU
rnacentral:rRNA from 1 species